GACGAACGCUGGCGGCGCGCCUAACACAUGCAAGUCGAACGAGCGAGCGCGGGCUUGCUUUCUCGCUCGAGUGGCGAACGGGUGAGUAACGCGUGAGGAACCUGCCUCAAAGAGUGGGACAACAGUUGGAAACGACUGCUAAUACCGCAUAAGCGCACGUGCUCGCAGGGCACGGAGGGAAAGUGAGCAAUCCGCGAUGGGAUGGCCUCGCGUCCGAUUAGGUAGUUGGUGAGGUAAUGGCCCACCAAGGCGACGAGGGGUAGCCGGGCUGAGAGGUUGAACCGUCACGAUGGGACUGAGGCACAGCCCAGACUCGUACGGGAGGGAGCAGAGGGGAACACUGCGGAAUGAGGGAAGACCUGGCGCAGCGACGCGGCGUAGAAGAAGAAGGUCUUCGGAUUGCAAUCUCCCGUGGUUGGAGAAGAGAGUGACGGUACCGAACAAGGAAGUGACGGCUAACUACGUG
rnacentral:rRNA from 1 species